rnacentral:rRNA from 1 species
AGAGUUUGAUCCUGGCUCAGGAUGAACGCUGGCGGCGUGCUUAACACAUGCAAGUCGAACGGACUCAUAUUGAAACCUAGUGAUUUAUGAGUUAGUGGCGGACGGGUGAGUAACGCGUGGAAAACCUGCCGUAUACCGGGGGAUAACACUUAGAAAUAGGUGCUAAUACCGCAUAAGCGCACAGCUUCGCAUGAAGCAGUGUGAAAAACUCCGGUGGUAUAUGAUGGUUCCGCGUCUGAUUAGCUAGUUGGCGGGGUAACGGCCCACCAAGGCAGCGAUCAGUAGCCGGCCUGAGAGGGUGAACGGCCACAUUGGGACUGAGACACGGCCCAAACUCCUACGGGAGGCAGCAGUGGGGAAUAUUGCACAAUGGGGGAAACCCUGAUGCAGCGACGCCGCGUGAGUGAAGAAGUAUUUCGGUAUGUAAAGCUCUAUCAGCAGGGAAGAAAAUGACGGUACCUGACUAAGAAGCCCCGGCUAACUACGUGCCAGCAGCCGCGGUAAUACGUAGGGGGCAAGCGUUAUCCGGAUUUACUGGGUGUAAAGGGAGCGUAGACGGCAGCGCAAGUCUGGAGUGAAAUGCCGGGGCCCAACCCCGGAACUGCUUUGGAAACUGUGCAGCUUGAGUGCGGGAGAGGUAAGUGGAAUUCCUAGUGUAGCGGUGAAAUGCAUAGAUAUCACGCAGAACUCCGAUUGCGAAGGCAGCAUACCGGCGCUCAACUGACGCUCAUGCACGAAAGUGUGGGUAUCGAACAGGAUUAGAUACCCUGGUAGUCCACGCAGUAAACGAUGAAUGCUGGCUGUCCGGGGGGACUGACCCCUGGGUGGCGAAGCGAAAGCGAUAAGCAUUCCACCUGGGGAGUACGCCGGCAACGGUGAAACUCAAAGGAAUUGACGGGGGCCCGCACAAGCGGAGGAACAUGUGGUUUAAUUCGAUGAUACGCGAGGAACCUUACCCGGGCUCAAACGGGGAGUGACGCAGGCAGAGACGCCUGUUUCCCACGGGUCACUCCCCGAGGUGCUGCAUGGUUGUCGUCAGCUCGUGCCGUGAGGUGUCGGCUUAAGUGCCAUAACGAGCGCAACCCCCGCGUGCAGUUGCUAACAGUCAACGCUGAGGACUCUGCACGGACUGCCGGCGCAAGCCGCGAGGAAGGCGGGGAUGACGUCAAAUCAGCACGGCCCCUACGUCCGGGGCGACACACGUGUUACAAUGGGUGGUACAGCGGGAAGCCAGGCGGCGACGCCGAGCGGAACCCGAAAUCCACUCUCAGUUCGGAUCGGAGUCUGCAACCCGACUCCGUGAAGCUGGAUUCGCUAGUAAUCGCGCAUCAGCCAUGGCGCGGUGAAUACGUUCCCGGGCCUUGUACACACCGCCCGUCA